CGUGCCCACGCGGAGAACGCCGGAUGGGCAGGACUGGGUUAGGGGGGAGGCCUUCCACUGCCGACUGAGGGUCUCCCUUCUGGAGGUGUCCUUCAUGUUCAUCGUCUUCCUGCGGGCAUCAACCAAAAAAGCCAUUUUUGGGGGACAGAAGAGGCGCUUAAAGCCAUUCCUUACCGUUCCUCAGGUUGAGUCUUGAGGCUGACGCUCUUCCAAUCGGCGCAGUAGCUCUCCCUCUGGGCUCUAUUCUCUUCCCGGACGCUACACGACAACUCCGCUCCCUCCACCACGCCGUUACACUUCUCCACAAUGGUACACACCGGCAUCUUGCUCCUGAAGCUCAGAUAAACUGUGAUGGACUUGAAACAAAGUGUGGCAAUGCUCCAGAUGGCCUCCUCUUUGUCCUCUGUGUGUCCUGGUGUGUCGGAGUUGAAGUCAUGCCACAGACUUUAUGGAGACGACGUUGCUAUUUUAGAUACGUGUUGUCACCGGACAAUCGGCGUGCGCUGACAUCGGACACCGACAAGUGUUCCGGGUAGCCGCUAUGAAGCUCCUCUGCUCAGACUAAUUGGCAUGAAAUCCCACCAAAGGGUCAUCGGACCAACACUUUCCACCUUUGCCUUACACACGGUAUAGGGAUUAUGUAACCAAAAACAAACACAACAAGCUGAUCUGCAUUUGGUUCUUAUGUAGAGUGGAUGAGCCUUUGCUAAUGUGGAAACAGUCAACAGCUGCUUUUCAAACACGACACCACCUUUUAAGACUUUGAGACUUUAAAUCUUGACUCCAUUGAUAGAGUCAUUGUUUGGUCCUGGAAACAUGGAUCUGAAAUCUGAAACUAGACAAAAGUUAAUUAUAUGGCAUGGCAUCAAGUGUAUUUCAGGGGGGGCAGUGACCCCGCGGCCCCCCCUCUAGCUACGGCAGUUCAUAAACUGUUGCUCAGCUGGACUUGCUGGGCUGCUAUGAUUUGUUGAGAAGGGUAGGUAGACAAUUAGGUUGCCUAAUUCUGACACGUCAAGAUAGAAACCCAUUUUUUCCCCUUUUUUUAUCUUUUGUGCUGGUGCAGCACCGCGUGACACCAUCAAACUUCCUUAUUCCUGCCGCACGGUUGCCGCAUCCACCGAUUCAUCACCUCAAUGACAGAGCGGCACGCUCGGCACUCAGAUUACAUCGCCUGGGAAGCGCUGGCAGCUGGAAAGUUGGUGCGAGGUUACAAAAGUGACUCACUCGUCUGCAUUGGGUAGUGAUAUAACACAUACGCAAAGCACAAUGGCUACCAUGGCAUAAUCAGCUGUUAUUUAUUUGUUUAUUUAUAUAUAAAUAAAUUAUAUAUUAUAUAAUAUAUAAAUAAAUUCUAUAUAUUAUAUAAUAUAUAAAUAAACUAUAUAUAAAUAAAUUAUAUAUAUAUAUUAUUCCACACACUGUCCCUUUAGAUGAGAUAAAGGUUUUAAAGUGUUAUUUAGCAUGCUAUUUAGUUGGCAGGCUGUAAUGGUGAAUAAGGGUUAGAAAUAGUUAAUGGCCAUCUAAAACAGGGAAGAAGAUGGCAUCUGAUUAGACAUGUUAUGACACCAUGACAACCGUGGUGAACAGCUAGUGUAUCAUCUCACAACAUGUCAGUGGUGCAUCACACCGGCGGACACCUUUUAAGAUAAUUUUGGUGGGCGUAUGGGGGCCGGGGGGCGGUCUGCCAGGAAGAAGGUGACAUUUGGAUGAGCUGUCACCACACCGCACAGUUGGGUAGUGAAAGAGGAAUUUGGGGGAGGGGGGUCAAGGGGUGGUAACUAAAGCAGGGCAAGCGGCCAUUUUGAAAGUAUUUGUUUUGGUUUGAAGGAAGAAGGAGAUGGACUAAUAAAAGGUUGUCAUAUAAUCCUUAAAUCCUAACUGGUUUAGCAGAGCAGUUGUUUACAACGGUGAUGCAGCCAAAAUAAAAAAUAAUAUAUGCAGGCGGAGCAUCCACCAAUACAGACAUAUAUUCUUUAUCCUCGGCAAAUCGCUGUGAUCACCAUGACAACAGACCCAAGUAGCCACGCGGUUUUUAUGUUCCACAUAAUGAAUACCGUCUUUGUAGAAAAAGCCAUAAUUGUCUUUUGUGUACGCCGCAAACAUGACCUUGAGCAGAUAUGUUUCGAACUUAACAACAAUAACAAGAGCAAGCAGCAGCAACAGCUGAGCGCCAGCAGGACCACCAGACACCGGACGGCGCCCCACGCCGGGUCCCGGGAUUUGCUGCAUUCCUGGCGGAGCGGCGAGUACCCACCAGCUGCACCCGCCAAAAACAUCUCCUUUUAAUCAGUCUGGACUUCAAAUAACCCGCUGACAACAUGUGACAUGGACUCCGGAGGCUUGCAACUUUAUUUGUUAUCAACGUCAAUAGGACAGAUACAAAGAGCAGCAUGGCUGCAGGGGGAUUUUCAAACACUGCUUGCUCUUCUCCAAACAUCAUUGAACAAAGUCAGCUGUUUGGACAGGCAACUUGUUGUCUCGUCAUGUGACGCUAAUGAACAUGAUCUAACCUUGAUAUCUGCCGCCCCCUGCCUGUGAUCUGGUGCUACUGCAGCCGUUCAGGACUUCUCCAGACUUCCCCCGCUGUCGUCGUCGUCGGGGGCGCCGUUCAUGUUGGCCUCCACUCGGGCCAGCAGCAGCGGCAAGUUGAUGCCGAGUUGAUUCGUCUCGUCCUCCUCAGAGUCAUCCCGGGGCGGGAAGAAACGCUUGGCCUUGGUCACAAAGUCCUCGGCAAUAUCCAGGUAGAGCAAGCGAUCCUGAAGAAAGAUUAUUUUGUCACCGUCUUUUGUCAAGACUGUACUCAAUGGACACUUUUUAGGCUCCUCACCAGGAUGAAGAGGUAUCGCUCCGGCGGCGGCUCCCUGCUGUUGAAGAGCGACGUCUGUGUGUGGAGCGUCUGCAGCAGAGAGCGCGCCGCGGCGGCGUUGCGCAUGCGGUCCAGCGAGGCGCCGGCCGACACGGUCAGCAGCGAGUCGGCCUCGGCCAUGAAGCCUAAAACAUGGACAACAUGGUAGUCCGUCUUGUAAUGUCACAUGGCACGACAAGAGUGGACAUGCAGUUUGGAAGAAAAAAAGACGGUGCUCACCAAGAUUCUCCAGGAUGGUCAUCCACUUAUCCCGAACUUCCCUGCGCGUGUCUCGCAUGGCUUCGAUGUCCACACUCAGGCGGCGGUAGCCCUACAAAGGACAAAACUGCAAAGCUCCUUCAUUCUGCCUCACUCUCACUCUUUUUGUGUGUGUGUGGAUGUACCGUGGAUCCCAUACGGGUCUGGUUGCGAGCCUGAAGCAGCGUGUAGAGGGUCCGGUCGUCAUCCCGCUCCGAGUGGCUCGGGUCCCCCGGCUCGCUCCACAGGUUGGCCUCCUCGUCACGGCGCUUUUGUACUUCGCGGCUGAAAUACUCCAACGGAUCCGGAGUCCUUGCCGAUGCGGGCGGAUAUUUUGUUAUGAUAUUAUUGUUUGUUAACCUGAUGCAGUACAGCACCAACUACUGCUGAGGAGGACCAUGUCAUUGUGAGAUUUUUUUUGAAGUAUCGACGGCUAGUAUCGGAGCCUCUGUGAUUAUCCGAUACCCUAAAAUAAUGUCGUAUUGGCCCGAUACUCAGCUGUUCCUACUUUUUAAAUUCAUAACAUUGUAUAAUAGAUUUUUUUUUAUACAAAUUUGUAUGAAUACAUUGAUUUUAAGUCCAAUAAACAUUGGAAAGCAAUUUGAUCAAAUACAAUAAAUAAAAAAAAUCUGGGUAAAAUAUCUCGUAUUAAACCGAAGCUAAUUUCGAGGUCAGGGCUUCAUUU